CCAAACUUGGUCAUUUAGAGGAAGUAAAAGUCGUAACAAGGUCUCCGUUGGUGAACCAGCGGAGGGAUCAUUACAGGACUCGCAAGACUCCUUACACCCUGCGAAUCUUACCGUACACGCGUUGCUUCGGCGGACCCGCCCGCCGGCAGCAUACCACAUUCUGUUUCUCUGCGUUGGCAUCUCGAGACACAAAGCAAAUAAGUUAAAACUUUCAACAACGGAUCUCUUGGUUCUGGCAUCGAUGAAGAACGCAGC
rnacentral:misc_RNA from 1 species